rnacentral:rRNA from 1 species
GCGACCCCAGGUCAGGCGGAUCGCACCUGAU